AAGCAAACGUGUGGAGAAAGAGUCAAGCAUGUGAUGUUUAUUUUCAAGGCGAGAGUUUUCAGAUCUGUGCUCAUAAAAUUCUUCAAGGUUUUCUUUUCCCUUCGAUAAACAACAAAGAAAGAGGGUGCGGCAGAGAAAAAGGACAAAUGAAGAAGGGGACCUCCACUCGGCCCAUGCCUUCCACACUUAUUCCUCCUUCCUUCGGCGAAUCUACAUGUCGACGGAGGCGCCCAGGAGGGCUGGCGGUAAGUUGUGCCGGCAGAGGAGCCGGCUCCAGAUGCACGCGCCGAGCUCGAUCCAGGUGGGGCCCGCGCCGGCAAGCGUCGCGGAGUGGAACGUGGCGAUCCCGCUCCUCUCGCCGCUGGACAUCUCGACGAUCCCUAGGAUCGGGGACCGGACGACGGACGCCGAGGUGGGGCCGCCCCCAGAGGAGGUCCGGUCGCCGGACGGCGAGAAGAAGGAGGCGGAGGAGGGAACCCGCCGGUGGACGGCGUGGCAGCAUCCGGCGGCCCCGUUCUACUACGAGCCGGUACCCGGAAACAAGCCGGCCUUCGUCGUGCCGCGCUGCACGUGACGUGACCCGCGGGGUAUCGUAACGUAGGAGCUAAUCAUUAAUCGUUUUGCGCAGUUCGAAUUUUUCUCUUUUUAGCCCCCCUGUUUGUGAACUUAACUUUGUAAUUAAUUAAUGCUAUUAGAUUAAUCAAAUAGAAAUAUAUAUAUUUUUUUUGGCA